rnacentral:rRNA from 1 species
GACGAACGCUGGCGGCGUGCUUAACACAUGCAAGUCGAACGGAAAGGCCCUGCUUUUGUGGGGUGCUCGAGUGGCGAACGGGUGAGUAACACGUGAGUAACCUGCCCUUGACUUUGGGAUAACUUCAGGAAACUGGGGCUAAUACCGGAUAGGAGCUCCUGCUGCAUGGUGGGGGUUGGAAAGUUUCGGCGGUUGGGGAUGGACUCGCGGCUUAUCAGCUUGUUGGUGGGGUAGUGGCUUACCAAGGCUUUGACGGGUAGCCGGCCUGAGAGGGUGACCGGCCACAUUGGGACUGAGAUGCGGCCCAGACUCCUACGGGAGGCAGCAGUGGAGAAUAUUGCACAAUGGGAGGAGGCCUGAUGCAGCAACGCCGCGUGCGGGAUGACGGCCUUCGGGUUGUAAACCGCUUUCGCCUGUGACGAAGCGUGAGUGACGGUAAUGGGUAAAGAAGCACCGGCUAACUACGUG